GGACUUUGAGAGCUUGCUGAGAUGGAGUUACUGCUGCUCAUGUGUUGCUAAGUGAUAAAACUUCAAUCCCUAUCGAAUUAAAACAACUAUCCAUUUAAUAGACCAUGCACGAUAACAUUGGAUAACAUUGACUCAAAAUCAGCAAGACCUGCUUGCAUCUCUGUGUCUGUCCAAGGCGACCAUCUAAAAAACACCUCCUGAUGCAUAAAGAUUGCAUGUGAACU
rnacentral:lncRNA from 1 species